CAAAAAAGAAAAAAAAAAUUUCUAUGUCCAACUUUAACUGUCCGUCUUAUAUGAAAUUUUUUUAUAAUUUAUAUUUUUAUUGUUGUUAGAUAAUAAAACAUGAUUAAUAUUUUAUACUUGACUUGUAUUUUUAUUUUUUUAAUAUUUUUUUAAAUAAGACGGACGGUUAAACGUUGGAUAUGGAAUUCAGGGUUUGUCUUUUU
rfam:Oryza sativa (indica cultivar-group) chromosome 9, whole genome shotgun sequence.